UCAGAGGUCACUAUUUCUUCAGUCCCUCCUGAAAGGAAAUCUUGCCCUUACUACUUGUGCCAACGUUAGGAGUGCCUAGCAAUGUUCCUAUGGAAAUAAAACCUCAGGUGGGUCUGCUUGCUCCUGGGUAUCUCACUCUUAAGCAGGAGACACGAUUCUUCCUUCAGUGUAAGUCACCUCUUCAAUGAAGUUCGCCAUGAGUCAUCCAAGAAGAGCUACCUCAACACUCUGAUUCCAAAACCCAUCCUAUAAAGAUCAACAUCAUACCACAUUGACUUGUGGGGCUCAUAAACAACUGAAGAAAUACACAGACACGUACACCAGGAUUAGCCAAACUGUAGUGGGUGCUGUACUGGGAGUUCAAAGACUACGCAGCGGAGGAGAAAGGAUCUGAAGACAAGGAGAAAGAGAAGGAAGGAGUGAGAAGGAUGGAACAAGGGCAUUGCAGGAGGGUGCUCAAAUCCUCAUCACAACAAUGUUCAUUGAAGCCUUACAGUCUUCAAGGAAACCUUCAGACUUUCCUUUGUGCAAACAUCCUUCUGAGCUUGGCUCCAAUCCUCCUCCACCUCGACAUCCAGGUCUCUCCCGUGUGUAUGAUAUACAAGAGCCACAGUCUACUGCACGCUGCUCCCGUCUCUGCACCAGGGAUCCGAGCUCCCAAACUUUCGGGCUUCUGCAUAUGCUGUAGUUUCCUUGGGAGUAGCAUCCCACCCACCUUUCAUCUGCCUAAUUCCUACUCAUCCUUAAUGCUUCCCUUGGGAUUUCCCCACAGAGUGGAAUUCAGAAGGCGGCCCUGCUAUGCCAUCACCUCCUCCCGCAGCCCCCUGCAUGGUUGCUGUUGGCUUCUUUCUGUCCCCCUAGAGAGUUUCUGCCUCCUUGAAGGCGAACUCCUUGUUUAGCCCCCACCCACCUCUUCCCACUUCCCAGGCGCUGUCUGUGUCCAACCUACAGUGAAGACAUUAAUAGGCAAUUAGACUAAUAAACAAACAAAGUAUUUUAAGAAAUUAAACUUCCUGUAAUAUGGUGUCAUUUAUCUGGAAUCUGCAAGAAUAUGACUGAGCAUUGAGAAGGGAGAUGAAUAAUGAGAACUCAGAG
rnacentral:lncRNA from 1 species